GAUGAACGCUAGCUACAGGCUUAACACAUGCAAGUCGAGGGGAAGCGAUAUUGGAAGCUUGCUUCCGAUAGGCGUCGACCGGCGCACGGGUGAGUAACGCGUAUCCAACCUGCCCACCACUUGGGGAUAACCUUGCGAAAGUAAGACUAAUACCCAAUGAUAUCUCUAGAAGACAUCUGAAGGAGAUUAAAGAUUUAUCGGUGAUGGAUGGGGAUGCGUCUGAUUAGCUUGUUGGCGGGGUAACGGCCCACCAAGGCGACGAUCAGUAGGGGAUCUAAGAGGAAGUUCCCCCGCAUUGGAACUGAGAAACGGUCCAAACUCAUACGGGAGGCAGCAGUGAGGAAUAUUGGUCAAUGGGCGAGAGCCUGAACCAGCCAAGUAGCGUGCAGGAUGACGGCCCUAUGGGUUGUAAACUGCUUUUAUAAGGGAAUAAAGUGAGCCUCGUGAGGCUUUUUGCAUGUACCUUAUGAAUAAGGACCGGCUAAUUCCGUGCCAGCCGCCGCCGUAA
rnacentral:rRNA from 1 species